rnacentral:rRNA from 1 species
AGCGUUGUCCGGAUUUAUUGGGCGUAAAGAGCGUGUAGGCGGUUCGGUAGGUCCGUUGUGAAAACUCGAGGCUCAACCUCGAGACGCCGAUGGAAACCAUCGAACUAGAGUCCGGAAGAGGAGAGUGGAAUUCCUGGUGUAGCGGUGAAAUGCGCAGAUAUCAGGAAGAACACCCGUGGCUAAGGCGGCUCUCUAGUACGGUACUGACGCUGAGACGCGAAAGCGUGGGGAGCGAACAGG